AUCUGGAGGGGAUAACUGGUACAGUUGACUUAGAACUUUGGAGAACCGACCCUUUCUCUGCAAUUCUGCUUAGCAUUCUGUUCUGCAAAUGUGCAUUGUAUAAACAAUAACAAAAACAUGAAAAGGGAAGGAUACAGUGUUACAUUAAUUCACUUUAUCACUAGUAUAAUUACAUGCUUUGAGAGUGUCUAACAUGAUUAACAGAUUAAAUCUCUCAGUCACGGCUAGAUCAAAGUGUUCUUUUAACAGAGAGUGUUUCCUUAGUAAGAUUCACGUUUGUCCCAAGAGAGGACUUGUCUACACAGAUCUUGGCAUGACACUGCCGCCUCGGUGACAUAUCGCUGUGCAUUUUCGGACACAUGUUGGAUCCUGACAUUCUUCAAACC